rnacentral:rRNA from 1 species
GACGAACGCUGGCGGCGUGCUUAACACAUGCAAGUCGAACGGAAAGGCCCUGCUUUUGUGGGGUGCUCGAGUGGCGAACGGGUGAGUAACACGUGAGUAACCUGCCCUUGACUUUGGGAUAACUUCAGGAAACUGGGGCUAAUACCGGAUAGGAGCUCCUGCUGCAUGGUGGGGGUUGGAAAGUUUCGGCGGUUGGGGAUGGACUCGCGGCUUAUCAGCUUGCUGGUGGGGUAGUGGCUUACCAAGGCUUUGACGGGUAGCCGGCCUGAGAGGGUGACCGGCCACAUUGGGACUGAGAUACGGCCCAGACUCCUACGGGAGGCAGCAGUGGGGAAUAUUGCACAAUGGGCGGAGGCCUGAUGCAGCAACGCCGCGUGCGGGAUGACGGCCUUCGGGUUGUAAACCGCUUUCGCCUGUGACGAAGCGUGAGUGACGGUAAUGGGUAAAGAAGCACCGGCUAACUACGUG